CACCGCCAUUACCACCACAGCCACCGAAAUCUGAACGCACCUACUGCUACUACUACUACCGCCUUCAACGCCUCCGCAAUUUGUUCCCACAUCUCUGCUGUUUGGCGGUCGCAUUCUGCGUCGGAGUAUAUUUUUUGUGUGUUUUUUUCAGGUGCGAAGGCGGAUAGGGCUGGAGAUAAAUGUCUGCUGUGAGAUGAAGCAGAGGAGUUCGUUUACCUGCGUUUUGUGGCGGUGCUCGGUGAGCGUUUUGUUGGUGUUCGCUUUGUUUUUGCUGGUUCUGCGCUCGGCUGAUGCUACGCAGUUCCAAAUCGGGAGCAAUGGCAGACCGCUGACGGAAGCCGAAGUGAAAUACAUCACGAAAAGGCAGCUGCUGUACUAUCUGGAUGAGUUUGGGGACAGAGGAGAGAAUCAUUGAGCGGCGCAACAAAAGAUCUUUUGGAAGAAAACAAUCAGGCUUUUGGUAAGAUUUCAGCAAAUCUUACGACCCUCGAGGUAAACCUCGAACUCUAUUGUCCUCGAAAAAUUUGUACCAUACUUAUGGUUAGCUUAAUUUGGUCAUGAUUAUAGAUCAAGCAUAUCAUAUGCUGUUUCGGGGCAGGGAAAGAACACGGUGCAUAUAUCUUUCAUAACAAAUAUCUACACAAUACAUUGUUACAUAGUAGAGCAAUACAAUUUUCUUAAUUGUUAUAAAAGGUUAUUUUUUGGAAUGUUUUGAGUUUCGACUAGAUCUAUAACCAGGUCUGAAAAUGUUGAUUUAUAUUCCUAGCAUUUGGAUGUAUCGAAUACUAGCCGUAGUUGUAAAUGUGGUUUAUCUUACCGAUCUAAAUUCUUCUCUGAAUGCACUCCAUACUUUACAUUAACACGUCUCUGAAUAUGGAAUGGUUAUCUGAUAAAUGAAAUGUCAUUUUCUAAGACAGAUGAACAACAUUAGUGGGUACGUUCCUGGGCGGAUAGUAUUCUUCCUGGUAUGUAUGUAUGUAUCAUAAUGAGAAGGAGGAUGAGGAUGAGGUUGCAGUGGGGGAGCAUAUACUCAUUCAUUCCUUCAGCUGCAACUCCAUGUUGACAGCUUGCUAGCUAGGCGGGUAGUUUGUUGUGAAAAACCAGUUACAUUAUUUGGUUGUAUUAGUUCCCUCUUUUUUCUUGUUGCCAUAGAUUAAACAAACCCCUCGGCUUUUUAAUCUUUAAUGUUAUUAUUUACUGGUUGUGUUUCUAGUUAAGUUUCAAUGAAUUUAUUUUAUGUUAUGAGGGUUCAUAGUGUGAGCAGUCCUUGCCACUUUUCAUUAUUUAUUAACAAAUGUUAGUUUCUCUUUGAAUAUGUCAGAUCAAUGAGGUUAAAAGUAACUCCAUAUUGUCUGAAUUACCCAUGACUUCAUUUUGUAAUUUAGCUGUUUCUGUAGAGCUAUACACAGUACAUCCCGCUACAAAUCAUUGAUCUCGAUUCCUGGUUGAAGACCCCCUCAAUAUAUGUUUUUGAUUGCUCUGCUGCUGGAUUUAUUGUGAAUGCCUUCAUUGAGCUCCAGGAAAAUAGUACCUCAAGUUCUGGAUCUUCCAUGAGGAACUGUAUUUUGCUAGCAGCCUGUGAAGCUCAUGAGACGCUACCACAAAGUGCUGAGUUUCCUGCUGAUGUGUUUACUUCCUGCCUUACAACACACAUAAAAAUGGCACUAAGAUGAUAGAAUUCCUGGCCGCCAAACAGACAGGAAGACCCUUCUUGGGGAAUUGAACUGGAUAUUCACAGCUGUGACUGAUACUAUUGCAUGGAAUGUACUUCCUCAUGAUUUAUUCCAGAGAUUGUUCAGGCAAGAUCUUUUGGUUGCCAGCCUGUUUGGAAUUUUUUUGCUUGCUGAAAGGAUAAUGCGGUCUGCAAAUUGUUCGCCAGUUUCACAUCCAAUGUUACCACCAACCCAUCAGCACCAUAUGUGGGAUGCAUGGGACAUGGCAACUGAAAUAUGCCUUUCUCAGCUUCCAACAUUAGUUGAGGACCCAGAGGCCGAGUUCCAGGUGACACUGUUGACAUAGUAAAGGUUUUUGUUACAUCUGCUACUGUUCCGGAGGCUGCGCUUAUUCUACGGACAAUCUCCGGGGCACAAACACUGGGUGAGGUUGUCCGCGCCGAGCCAAUCGACUGGACAUUUAAAGAUUUUGUUCAUCGCCCGUAACUACGGUGUACGACCACUUUGACUGUGCAUGGGGCAUUGCAGCAUGGCACGUGAUUCUAUGAUGAUUGACGUUUGUUUGUUGAUUGAUGCUAACCGAGUCCUUUAUGUUGGUUGAACUUGCUGUCUCUGCUACAUUUUGUGUGUUUGCUACAUUUUGUGUGUUUGUUGCUACGCUUUGCCAUAUAUGUUAGGUUAUAUUGCGAAAUAUUUAUAUUUCUA